CAUGCUAUAUUUAUUCAUGCUAUAUAGCUGACUGUUGUACAUUCAUAUAUAUUUUUUUGUAUUUCUUUGUAUAUUUCUUUUUAUCGGCUCUGUUUCUUGUGAAUGCUUCACUAUAAGUGAAGUAUUUGUUGGCCACGUCGAUAUGUCGGUUUAUGUUUCGACCGGCGUUUGUUUAAUACAACACUGUCUCGUCUCGUCUGCAAUUAUCACCCUGCCUAACUACCGACCGCAUCCAGCUAUUCACUGGACGAGGAUUUUAUGAGAUAUGUAAUCUUGAGGAAGGUACAAAAAACAUUACUUUACAACAAUCACCAAUGACGGAAACGAAGUUUGAUAACAUUGCAGCUGAAUGGCUGCGGUUUGCUAAGCAAAGAAAAAAAAGAGAAGUAAAAGGAAAGGAUACAAUAGAAUGUGAGCAAAACAAUAAUGAAGAACAUUAAUUUAUUGUGAUAUAAAAAUAAUUGUAAUAUAAAAAUAAUAUGUGUUCUAAAGUUAGAA